rfam:Danio rerio chromosome 6, GRCz11 reference primary assembly.
AUUUGUGUCUUACCAGGCAAGUUUAGAUGUUGAUACUGUGUCUAAUACUGCCUGGUAAUGCCAUCAAU